AUUGAACGCUGGCGGCAGGCCUAACACAUGCAAGUCGAGCGGAGCGGCUGACGGGAGAGUAAUGCCUAGGAAUCUGCCUGGUAGUGGGGGAUAACGUCCGGAAACGGGCGCUAAUACCGCAUACUAUCAGAUGAGCCUAGGUCGGAUUAGCUAGUUGGUGGGGUAAAGGCCUACCAAGGCGACGAUCCGUAUAUGGUCUGAGAGGAUGAUCAGUCACACUGGAACUGAGACACGGUCAAGAUGCCUACGGGAGGCAGAAGGGGGGAAGAUUGGACAAUGGGCGAAAGCCUGAUCCAGCCAUGCGGCGGGUGUGAAGAAGGGCUUCGGAUUGUAAAGCACUUUAAGUUGGGAGGCGGUACCAACAGAGUAAGCACCGGCUAACUUCGUGCCAGCAGCCGCGGUAAUUC
rnacentral:rRNA from 1 species